rnacentral:rRNA from 1 species
GAUGAACGCUGGCGGCGUGCCUAAUACAUGCAAGUCGAGCGAACGGAUGAGAAGCUUGCUUCUCUGAUGUUAGCGGCGGACGGGUGAGUAACACGUGGAUAACCUACCUAUAAGACUGGGAUAACUUCGGGAAACCGGAGCUAAUACCGGAUAAUAUUUUGAACCGCAUGGUUCAAAAGUGAAAGACGGUCUUGCUGUCACUUAUAGAUGGAUCCGCGCUGCAUUAGCUAGUUGGUAAGGUAACGGCUUACCAAGGCAACGAUGCAUAGCCGACCUGAGAGGGUGAUCGGCCACACUGGAACUGAGACACGGUCCAGACUCCUACGGGAGGCAGCAGUAGGGAAUCUUCCGCAAUGGGCGAAAGCCUGACGGAGCAACGCCGCGUGAGUGAUAAAGGUCUUCGGAUCGUAAAACUCUGUUAUUAGGGAAGAACAUAUGUGUAAGUAACUGUGCACAUCUUGACGGUACCUAAUCAGAAAGCCACGGCUAACUACGUG